GUCCUGGCAGUAAACGGUGCACGUUUGGUGUGGGGGGAUUCGACCCCUUCCGCGCCGGAGCUAACGCGUUAAACGUGCCGCCUUGGGAGUACGGUCGCAAGAUUAAAACUCAAAGAAAUUGACGGGGCCCGCACAAGCGGUGGAGUAUGUGGCUUAAUUCGAUGCAACGCGAAGAACCUUACCAGGCCUUGACAUGCAUUUCUAAGUUGGUGAAAGCCAGCGAGUCUCGAAAGAGACAACUUGCACAGGUGCUGCAUGGCUGUCGU
rnacentral:rRNA from 1 species